CAACCAACCAACAUGGAGUUAAAUGCCGAUGCGAAGAGCCAUAUAAAAGCCCUUCCCUCAGAUGAGUGUUCCUCGAGCAUCUCUGCGAGUCAGCUGGAUGAGAGGAUUGCUGACGGACAGCAGCAGAUUGAACUCUGCACUAUGAUCCUCGAUGACCUUCUGCACAUUCAGACAAUCAUUCAAGAAAGAGGACUUGAAAACGUGUCGUUUCAAGGACUGGAUAACUAAAAAGUUUCUCUUUUAUCAUAAUGUCAAUGUGAACGUG